UACGUAGGGGGCGAGCGUUAUCCGGAAUUACUGGGCGUAAAGCGCACGCAGGCGGUUCGCCAAGUUUGGAGUGACAGUUGUCGGCUCAACCGACAAAGGACUUCAAAAACUGGUGAACUUGAGGACGAGAAAGGAACAUGGAACUCCAGGUGUAGUAGUGAAAUGCGUAGAUAUCUGGAAGAACACCAAUGGCGAAGGCAAUGUUCUGGCUCGUUUCUGACGCUCAGGUGCGAAAGCCAGGGGAGCGAACGGG
rnacentral:rRNA from 1 species